CCCUUAGAUGUCCUGGGCUGCACGCGCGCUACACUGACGAACUCAACGAGCUUAUCACCUUGGCAGAGAUGUCUGGGUAAUCUUUUGAAAGUUCGUCGUGCUGGGGAUAGAUGAUUGUAAUUAUUCGUCUUGAACGAGGAAUUCCUAGUAAGUGUGAGUCAUCAGCUCGCGCUGAUUACGUCCCUGCCCUUUGUACACACCGCCCGUCACUCCUACCGAUUGAAUGGUCCGGUGAGGUUCUCGGAUUUUUUCUGUUGUUUGGUUCGCUAAACGAUUGAAGAGAGAAGUUACCCAAACCUUACCAUUUAGAGGAAGGAGAAGUCGUAACA
rnacentral:rRNA from 1 species